CAAUAAGCGGAGGAAAAGAAACUAACAAGGAUUCCCCUAGUAACUGCGAGUGAAGCGGGAAAAGCUCAAAUUUGAAAUCUGGCAGUCUUUUUUUUCUUCUUUGGCUGUCCGAGUUGUAAUCUAGAGAAGUGCUUACCUGCGCUGGACCAUGUAUAAGUCUCCUGGAAUGGAGCGUCACAGAGGGUGAGAAUCCCGUCUUUGACAUGGACUGCCAGUGUGUUGUGGUGUGCUCUCAAAGAGUCGAGUUGUUUGGGAAUGCAGCUCUAAAUGGGUGGUAAACUCCAUCUAAAGCUAAAUAUUGGCGAGAGACCGAUAGUGAACAAGUACCGUGAGGGAAAGAUGAAAAGGACUUUGGAAAGAGAGUUAAACAGUAUGUGAAAUUGUUGAAAGGGAAACGCUUGAAGUCAGUUAUGUUGGCUAGGGAUCAACCUAGCUAAUUUUUUUGCUGGGUGAAUUUCCUAGUCUGACAGGCCAACAUCAGUCUUGACUGCUGGAAAAGAGCAGAGGGAAUGUGGCACCUUUGGGUGUGUUAUAGCCCUUUGUCAUAUGUGGCAGUUGGGACUGAGGGAUGCAGCAUGCCGUGAGGCUGGGUUUUUAACCACGUUCAUGCUUAGGAUGUUGGCUUUUAAUGGCUUCAAUCGACCCGUCUUGAA
rnacentral:rRNA from 1 species